rnacentral:rRNA from 1 species
GGGGGUGGCACAGACCAGGGGGUAGCGACUGUUUACCAAAAACACAGGUGCAUGCGAAGGCGCAAGCCGCUGUAUAUGCACUGACGCCUGCCCGGUGCCGGAAGGUUAAGAGGAUCCGUCAGCCCCUUUUGGGGUGAAGCGGUGAAUUCAAGCCCCGGUAAACGGCGGUGGUAACUAUAACCAUCCUAAGGUAGCGAAAUUCCUUGUCGGGUAAGUUCCGACCUGCACGAAUGGCGUAACGACUUCCCCACUGUCUCGACCAGGAGCUCGGCGAAAUUGCAGUACGAGUAAAGAUGCUCGUUAAGCGCAGAAGGACGAAAAGACCCCGGGACCUUUACUAUACCUUGGUAUUGGCGUUAGGCGCGGAUUGUGUAGCAUAGGCGGGAGGCUUCGAAGCAUGGGCGCCAGCCCGUGUGGAGCCGCAAGGUGAAAUACCGCUCUGUUCUCGUUUGACGUCUCACCUCGAACAGUCAUCCUGUUCAGGGACAGUGCCUGGCGGGUAGUUUAACUGGGGCGGUUGCCUCCCAAAGAGUAACGGAGGCGCUCAAAGGUCCGCUCAGCCCGGUUGGCAAUCGGGUUUCGAGUGUAAUCGCACAAGCGGGCUUGACUGCGAGAACGACGGUUCGGGCAGGGACGAAAGUCGGAGAUAGUGAUCCGGUGCCGGCGCACGGGCGCGGCAUCGCUCAACGGAUAAAAGGUACCCCGGGGAUAACAGGCUGAUCAUUCCCAAGAGUCCAUAUCGACGGGAUGGUUUGGCACCUCGAUGUCGGCUCGUCGCAUCCUGGGGCUGGAGCAGGUCCCAAGGGUUCGGCUGUUCGCCGAUUAAAGCGGCACGCGAGCUGGGUUCAGAACGUCGUGAGACAGUUUGGUCUCUAUCCUCUGCGCUCGUUGGAAUCCUGAGGAGGCCUGCCCAUAGUACGAGAGGACCUGGGUGGACGGACCUCUGGUAUGCCGGUUGUCGCGCCAGCGGCAUGGCCGGUUGGCUACGUUCGGGAGGGAUAACCGCUGAAAGCAUCUAAGCGGGAAGCCUGCUCCAAGAUUAGGAUUCCUUGACGCUCCCCGGAGCGCCUGUAGCCCGCAUGUUGAACACGUGUUCGAUAGGCCGGAGGUGGAAGCCCCGCGAGGGGUGGAGCCGACCGGUACUAACGGGCGAACGCGGCACACU